rnacentral:rRNA from 1 species
UGGGGAAUUUUGGACAAUGGGCGCAAGCCUGAUCCAGCCAUGCCGCGUGCGGGAAGAAGGCCUUCGGGUUGUAAACCGCUUUUGUCAGGGAAGAAAUCUUCUGAGUUAAUACCUCGGGAGGAUGACGGUACCUGAAGAAUAAGCACCGGCUAACUACGUGCCAGCAGCCGCGGUAAUACGUAGGGUGCAAGCGUUAAUCGGAAUUACUGGGCGUAAAGCGUGCGCAGGCGGUUUUGUAAGACAGAGGUGAAAUCCCCGGGCUCAACCUGGGAACUGCCUUUGUGACUGCAAGGCUUGAGUGCGGCAGAGGGGGAUGGAAUUCCGCGUGUAGCAGUGAAAUGCGUAGAUAUGCGGAGGAACACCGAUGGCGAAGGCAAUCCCCUGGGCCUGCACUGACGCUCAUGCACGAAAGCGUGGGGAGCAAACAGGAUUAGAUACCCUGGUAGUCCACGCCCUAAACGAUGUCAACUGGUUGUUGGGAAGGUUCCUUCUCAGUAACGUAGCUAACGCGUGAANUUGACCGCCUGGGGAGUACGGCCGCAAGGUUGAAACUUAAAUGAAUUGACGGGGUCAUAGCUGUUUUCCUG